UACGGGGGGGAGCAAGCGUUGUUCGGAUUUACUGGGCGUAAAGGCGCGUAGGCGGUCAGCACAAGUCAGUUGUGAAAUCUCCGGGCUUAACUCGGAAAGGUCAACUGAUACUGUGCGACUAGAGUGCAGAAGGGCAACUGGAAUUCUCGGUGUAGCGGUGAAAUGCGUAGAUAUCGAGAGGAACACCUGCGGCGAAGGCGGUUGCUGGCUGACACUGACGCUGAUGCGCGAAAGCCAGGGGAGCGAACGGG
rnacentral:rRNA from 1 species